GACGAACGCUGGCGGCGUGCCUAAUACAUGCAAGUAGAACGCUGAAGGAGGAGCUUGCUUCUCUGGAUGAGUUGCGAACGGGUGAGUAACGCGUAGGUAACCUGCCUGGUAGCGGGGGAUAACUAUUGGAAACGAUAGCUAAUACCGCAUAAUAGUAGAUGUUGCAUGACAUUUGCUUAAAAGGUGCAAUUGCAUCACUACCAGAUGGACCUGCGUUGUAUUAGCUAGUUGGUGGGGUAACGGCUCACCAAGGCGACGAUACAUAGCCGACCUGAGAGGGUGAUCGGCCACACUGGGACUGAGACACGGCCCAGACUCCUACGGGAGGCAGCAGUAGGGAAUCUUCGGCAAUGGACGGAAGUCUGACCGAGCAACGCCGCGGGAGUGAAGAAGGUUUUCGGAUCGUAAAGCUCUGUUGUAAGAGAAGAACGAGUGUGAGAGUGGAAAGUUCACACUGUGACGGUAGCUUACCAGAAAGAGACGGCUAACUACGUG
rnacentral:rRNA from 1 species